UACGGAGGGUGCAAGCGUUAUCCGGAUUCACUGGGUUUAAAGGGUGCGUAGGUGGGCAGGGAAGUCCGUGGUGAAAUCUCUGAGCUUAACUCAGAAACUGCCGUGGAUACUAUUUGUCUUGAAUAUCGUGGAGGUGAGCGGAAUAUGUCAUGUAGCGGUGAAAUGCUUAGAGAUGACAUAGAACACCAAUUGCGAAGGCAGCUCACUACUCGAUCAUUGACGCUGAGGCACGAAAGCGUGGGGAGCAAACAGG
rnacentral:rRNA from 1 species